ACUUUGUGAUAGUCAAGUGACAUUGCAUGUAGUGGCCAAUCCUUUUUUCCAUGAGCGAAAUCAUCAUAUUGAAAUGAAUUGUCAUUUUAUACGUGAUAUGAUUGUUGAUAGCACGUUAGCAACUAGACAUGUUGGUAUACGACACAACAGCUAAUAGACUUGUUUACGAAGCCACUCGAAAAGGAGAAGCUUUCAAUCAUGUUACGCAAAUUGGGAGUUCUUGACAUUCACUCUCCAACUUGGGGUAUUGAGGGGUACUAUUAGACAAAUAUAGCAAAUUAGUUAGAAUUAAAUUAUAAUUAUAAUUGUAAUUGUACUCCUAGCAGGAAUUCUUGUUGUAUAAGGAAUGUAAUUGUAUUAACGGCGGAGCUAGCAACAAGGCUAGGGUGGGCUCUAGCAUAGGGAGAUUUUUAGUUGUUUAAGGUUAAAAAUACUGAUAAUUUAGAUUAUUUUAUUAUUUUUAAUUGUUAUAGCUCAUCCAAUAAGUAAAAGUUCUAAACAAUAGGACUACUUUUAGAAAAAAGUAAGAGUUAAUAAAUAUUAAAUAAAUUAUUUACUUUAAUCAAUAUCAAAAUUUAUUAUUAUUAU
rnacentral:lncRNA from 1 species